rnacentral:rRNA from 1 species
GAUGAACGCUGGCGGCGUGCCUAAUACAUGCAAGUCGAGCGAACAGAUGAGGAGCUUGCUCCUCUGACGUUAGCGGCGGACGGGUGAGUAACACGUGGAUAACCUACCUAUAAGACUGGGAUAACUUCGGGAAACCGGAGCUAAUACCGGAUAAUAUAUUGAACCGCAUGGUUCAAUAGUGAAAUACGGUUUUGCUGUCACUUAUAGAUGGAUCCGCGCCGCAUUAGCUAGUUGGUAAGGUAACGGCUUACCAAGGCAGCGAUGCGUAGCCGACCUGAGAGGGUGAUCGGCCACACUGGAACUGAGACACGGUCCAGACUCCUACGGGAGGCAGCAGUAGGGAAUCUUCCGCAAUGGGCGAAAGCCUGACGGAGCAACGCCGCGUGAGUGAUGAAGGUCUUCGGAUCGUAAAACUCUGUUAUUAGGGAAGAACAAAUGUGUAAGUAACUAUGCACGUCUUGACGGUACCUAAUCAGAAAGCCACGGCUAACUACGUG